rnacentral:rRNA from 1 species
UACGAAGGGGGCGAGCGUUGUCCGGAUUUACUGGGCGUAAAGGGCGCGCAGGCGGUCUUGAAAGUCAGGCGUGAAAGCCCCGGGCUUAACCUGGGAAUUGCGCUUGAUACUCUGAGACUGGAGUACGGGAGAGGAGAGUGGAAUUCCCAGUGUAGAGGUGAAAUUCGUAGAUAUUGGGAAGAACACCAGUGGCGAAGGCGGCUCUCUGGACCGUAACUGACGCUGAGGCGCGAAAGCGUGGGUAGCAAACAGG